rnacentral:lncRNA from 1 species
CUCUGUGCGGCGGCUGCAGACAACGAAGCCGAGUGAGGCGGGGGCGCGGCGCCGUCUCUGCCCAUCUCCCUCCUCCCCGUCGCCUCGAGAGAUCACCACUCCCUGUCCCUCCCCAUAGUCCGUUCUCCCCUUCUUCCAUCCGCGACCAUGGAUGAGGAAGGCUUUCUCGACAGCAGCCGUCCGGCCGGCGACCCAGUUGGCGGUGGCAGCCAUAGAAGAUCGAGGUCACGGGGCGACUGGGUCGACAAUGAGGGAGCCAUGGGGCGUGGCCACGUCCGGCCGAAUAUGGGGCUGGACUUGGGCAGCGGCUUUGGAGCUGCCGAUGCACAAGCUGGGCAAGGUGAGCCUUUCAGCCUUACUGUGCGUGCAUGUUUAUUUAGCAUUUGCGUUAGCAUAUAGUUUGUAGAUAGAUUACAUAAUACAUGUGGUUGCUAGCUUUUGUAGCAGUUUUACUUUCCGGCCGGCCGUCCUAAUUUGAAUCAGUAGAUCUUCUUGCGUAGUUUAUGCUAGCUUAUGCUACGUAGAUGUUUAAUUCUAGCUUAUGUAAGCUAUAGCUUGUAAAAGUUCUUCUUGAUGAAAACUAACACCGGUAUUUUAUAGGCUCCUCUCGUAAGAGGGUAGGCAUCGAUGCUAGAAGGAGUGAUACUGUCAACUUAGACGAUGAAGAUGAUGGUCUGAUCAGGAAUGGUUCAGCAACAAGAGAGGCACCUUUUAAAGGUUGAUACCGUGUUACUCUUGCUUUUUGUAUUUCUCUUUGUUCCCUAUGUUUUACCCCUGUAAUUUGUGAAGCACCUAAAUGAUUUUAAUUCUACCUGUUCUGUAAUUUCUUACUAGCACUACUUGUACUUAUUCUAGUUUUGUUUAGUUUUUUAAUGCUGAUUUUACCUACGCAUAUUUUGUGGAAAUCUAAUUCCAUUUGCUUGCUUAGUUCUGUUUUUGCCAAUGCAUUUUUUACUUGUGCUUAAUUCUGUUCUGUCUAUUUUUGUUUAGUUGUUUAAUUCUGUUUUUGCCUAUGCAAUGUAUGCAUUGUUUUUGCCUAUUACAAGAGUGGUUUAUUCGUUUCAUUGUUAACAUGGUGCUUGCAUUUUGAAAUGCAGGACUUAAGACCAACGACAUACAUCAUGUGUGGAACCAUGGCCCCAAGCACGGAGGAGGAUUUCAUUGUCGGUAUUGCAACAUGAAGAAUUCUGGAGGAGGUGCAACCCGCUUCAAAGAGCAUCUUGGCAAGAUAGUAGGUGAAGUGAAGGAGUGCCCAAAUGUUCCAAGAAAUGUGCAUGAUAUAAUGAGGAAGGCCGUGCUUGAGAUGAGGAAAAAGAAGAGGGAGAAGGAAAGUCGUAAGCUUAGAUUUGAACGUGAGUUGAUGGAUGAGAUGUACCAGAGAAAUGGUGUGAUAAAUAUUGAUGAUGAUAAAGAUGAAGAAAUUCAUAUGGCACUACGGGAGUCACUAAGAGACAGGAAUGUUCUGUUUUUACUUUAUUUUGUCUUAUUCUGGUUUUACUUUAUAUCAUGAUGCAUUUAGAGUUCUUUGUAUUAUGCCUUACUCUUGCUUUACUUGAUAUCAUCAUACAUAUUGAGUUGAACUUUUUUUACUUAUGUUUUACAGGAAUGUAUCUCGUGCAGUUGAGAGGAGGCGUGGUAGUGGCGGUGGUGUUCGCGUUUCCCUUGGGAAACAGAGUAUCACAGCCUACUUUGACAAGCAAUUGUCGAGCAACAAAGUAUCAAUGCAACCCAAGAUCAGCACUGCUAUGGAUAGCAGCUCAAGGGAUGCUGUUGGCCAAGCUUGGCGAAGUUUUUUCAUGCAAAUGACAUCGCUGGUCGAAAAGCUGACUGUCAAUAUUUUCAGGCUGCCAUGAAGAUCACUCAAAAUCUUGGUGCUGCUCCUAUUCCAACUGGAAAAGAGAUUGAUGGGAAGUAUUUAGACAAAAAUUAUGAAGAGUCUCGAGAGUGGCUGAAGCUAUUCAAGCAAGAUUGGAAGAACUAUGGUGUAACUGUUAUGUGUGACUCCUGGACUAGGCCUACUGGCAUGAGUCUUAUCAAUUUCAUGGUCUAUUGCAAUACACGGAUGUUCUUCCAUAAAUCCAUUGAUGCUUCUGGCCAGUCUCAAAAUUCAGGUUAGAUUUUUUGAGAAAGGGUUAUUUCUGGUUAAUUAUGACUAUUGCAAUUCUUUCUACUAUGAUGCUCUAUAUUUCUGUUUUGUUAUUAAUUCUAGCAUAUUUGUUCUGUUUUUAUUUGAUAUCAUGAUGCAUUUCAAGUUGAGGAAGCCAAACGUUUAUAAUAGAGUACUUUGUCUACGUUGCAGAAUUUCUCUAUAGAGAGAUUAAACAGGUUGUUGUUGAAGAUAUAGGCCACGAAAAUGUAGUUCAGAUUGUUACUGAUAAUGGCUCAAAUUACAAGAAAGCUUGUAAAACUCUUGUUGAACAACCAGAAUUCAGUCAUAUUGUUUGGCAGCCAUGUGCAGCCCACACGGUUAAUCUAAUGCUUAAAGACAUAGGUAAGUUUCCUGAGGUUGAUGUGAUAGUCAAAAGUGCCAAGCAAAUCUGUAGGUUUUUUUAUAAUCACAACAACCUACAUGAUAGCAUGAGGAAGAACGUUGGUGGUGAGUUGAUUAAACCGAAUGCCACCCGGUUUGGAACUGUGUUUAUGUUCCUUGAGAGUUAUUUGGAGAAGAAAGAUAAAUUUAGGAAAUGGAUGGUGUCCGACGACUGGAAGAACAGUAUUUGGAAGAAUGAUGCGGACCAUGUGUUUGCUGAAGAGUUGCUAUCCAGUAACAUGUGGUGGACAGCCUUAGAAUGGGUUCUUGAUUUGCUUGAGCCACUCUAUGUAGCCCUCAGAUAUGCUGAUACACAAAAGAAAUGUACUCUAUCUGGUUUCAAGAAGACUAUGAUGACAGCCAUACAAAAGAUGAGUUCUCAUCUUGGUGGUGGGUCACAGAUGUUAGAUAGAGUCAUGAGCAAGGUGUCCCCGAGGAUGGAAGAUAUGCAAAAUGAGACACUAAUGGUUGCAGGUAGAUACUAAGUUAAUGAAACUGAAAUUUUGUUGCUUUUUUCUUAUGGUUAUUAACUUCUCUUGAUUCUCCUUUUCUUAUACAGCUGCUGUCCUUGAUCCGUUCACACAUUAUCGGGUGAAUUUGAGCAACCUUCCAGAAUAUGCUUCUGCACUAACGGAUGUCAUCGAGAAGAUAGCAGACCCUGAGAGCGCUCUUUUGGCUAUCAAUGAAAUCAGCACUUAUAGGGAAUGUCGUGGGAGGUUUAGGCAUAGUUUGGCACGCUCUUCCGCAGAAAGAAUGGCACCAAGUAAACCACGAUACUUAUCUCCAUUGAUUAGCUCUAUUGCCUCAUGUUGCAACUUCAUUUCAGCAUCUCUAACUUUGUUUUAACCAUGCAGCUGAGUGGUGGUUCCAGUUUGGAGGGGAAGUUCCUAAUUUGCAGAAGUGGGCAUUGAGAAUUGUUUCACAGUGUGUCUCUUCAAGUGGCUGUGAGAGGAAUUGGACUGCUUUUGCCUUGGUCCACACGAAGCAAAGAAAUCGCCUUCUAUACUGCAAGCUUCACAAAAGUGUUUCUGUACGCUACAACCUGAAGGUAUGUUUGCCAUGGUCUAUGCAUAAAGUCUCAACUUAGCUAUGCUACAAGUAUUUACUUUGCUAAAUCUUGGGUUCUGUUUUUAUACAUUGUAGUUACGUGCUGAAGAAGAUGAAGAUAUUGUGAAGCUGAGUUAUAGGGAGAAGGAAAUUGAUCCAUGUGCAGUGAUGAUGGAUACAGUUAUGCAUGACGAAUCAAACCCAAUGAUGGAGUGGCUGAACGAGGAUGAAGAGCAUAUAGUCCUUGAUGGAUCUGAUGCUGCUACUGCUGUGUUGGAGGAAAUACGUCGCCUUAACUCAAGGAGGAAAGCCUCUCAUCUUGGAAGGAAGGAAAUUAGCAGGAAAGGAAAGAGGGUACGUGAAGAUGAGGAGGAUGAGUUCAUUAGCAGUGAGGAUGAUGAUGAAGCGAAUGGAUCCAUGGACAUUGAUGAUGGUGAUGAUGGCCAAGAAGAGGAUUAUGAAUCUGAUGGAGAAGGUUUGCCAAGACAAGCUGAAAAAGAUGCACGAAGCCAAGUGAAUGAUAUUGAGGUAACAAGGGAUGAAAAUAUGGUGAAUCGUAGAUCUGGACGGCAAGCCAAGAAGGUCAAGGACGUCAACUCCCUUUACUAUUAGGUAACAAGUUACUUUUUCUUAUAUGAGCUAGCUUCUGGUUGUAUAUUUUUCUUCAUACUGCACUCAUGUUUUUGCGUUAGUAAUAAAUAACAUGGUAGAAGCUUACUGCCUGGACAUACUUUGCAAUGCUAGCAUCCAUGCCGUUUAUAUAAUUUGUAAUGCUAGACAUUUUUGUUUCAUGUACACAUAACUGAUGUUUUGUAUUGCAAUAUUUAUGAAGCCUCUGACCAUAUUUGCAUUUUUGUUUCAUGCAAGACUGAAGACUGGAAGAAAAUUGAAGUCUACCUGAUGUGUUUUGGAGGCGCUGGUUUGAACUUCGAUUACUUCUGCUCUAUGACUUGUGGAUUGUGAAUCUGGACUAUUGUGUGUGUAUUUUGGACUCGUAGUAGGGAUUGGUGUGUGGGUAUUUUGGACUGUAAUUUGAAGUUCUAAUAUGCACUGUUAUGUGUGUACCUUGGGCUAAUAUGGACUGUUAACUAGCCUAUUGAGUAGAUCUGGACUACUGGAUGUUAUAUCAUGCUCUGAACCGAUGUUUACCAUUGAGAUGGAGUUCUAAUCUGGUAUAACAUGUAAAUUGCUGCUUUGUGAUUCUAUAUUUUGCUUGUACAUGUUUUCUUGUGGCUAUUUCAAAUUUCUGGGCAAAUUUCGGUCAAUUUCGUUCAAAUUUCGGUCAUUUUUCGUCCCAAAAUUCAAAUUUUGGUUUGUGCUUUUCGUC